rnacentral:rRNA from 1 species
GAUGAACGCUAGCGACAGGCUUAACACAUGCAAGUCGAGGGGUAACAGGGUAGCAAUACCGCUGACGACCGGCGCACGGGUGAGUAACGCGUAUGCAACCUGCCUAUAACUGGGGAAUAGCUCCCUGAAAGGGGAAUUAACACCGCAUAACACUAUUGAUUCGCAUGGAUUGGUAGUUAAAUGUAGCGAUACAGGUUAUAGAUGGGCAUGCGUGACAUUAGCUAGUUGGUGAGGUAACGGCUCACCAAGGCUACGAUGUCUAGGGGUUCUGAGAGGAAGGUCCCCCAACUGGUACUGGGACACGGACCAGACUCCUACGGGAGGCAGCAGUGAGGAAUAUUGGUCAAUGGGCGCAAGCCUGAACCAGCCAUGUCGCGUGCAGGAAGACUGCCCUAUGGGUUGUAAACUGCUUUUAUAGUAGAAGAAACACAUCUACGCGUAGAUGUCUGCCAGUAUACUAUGAAUAAGCAUCGGCUAACCG